AUUAGCUGCCACAAAUAUAGUGAAUAGAUUGCCAAUUCAAAAAUUAAGCUAGCUUACUCCUUAUGAGCUUUUGUAUCAAAAACUACCAGAUUAUACCCAUUUAAGAGUCAUAGGAUGUCUUUGUUAUGCAGCAAAUAUAUACCCUCAUAAAGACAAAUUCACUGUUAGAUGCAUUCAAUCCCUUCUUCUUGGAUAUUCCUGCCAUAGUAAAGCUUAAAAGUUGUAUAACUUGAAGACUGGGGAAAUCUUUGUUAGUAAAGAUGUUCUGUUUUAUGAGUCUAUUUUUCCAUUUAAACACAAACUUGAAAAUGAGUCUUUAACCAUUUUUAAUUUCUUUGAUUUAGAUCUACCUAUACCUUCAGCAUCUAAUUUUGAUAGUCCUACCUUUUCAUCAACAGCUACUUUUACUGACUCACAAGAUUCUCUUCCUCAUGUUUCAUCUUUUUCUAUACCAAUUUCUUCAACUCCACCUUCUACUUCUACUGAUAGUGUUCCUAUUACUCAUUCAUCAAAUAUUCAUAAUUCUGUUCCCUUAAGAAGAUCUUCUAGACAUUCUUCAAAACCUACUUGGUUAAAGGAUUAUGUUCAUUUAGCUUCAGCUGCCACUCCAACUAUAGUUAAUACCGGCUCAGCUGCAUCCUCAUACUCAGGUAACCAUUUUCUUGCUUUCACUCCCAUUCAUCAAUCUUUU
rnacentral:misc_RNA from 1 species